GUAGUUAGCCGGGGCUUCCUCUUACGGUACCGUCACUUUCUUCUUCCCGUAAGACAGAGGUUUACAAUCCGAAAACCUUCUUCCCUCACGCGGCGUUGCUGGGUCAGGGUUUCCCCCAUUGCCCAAUAUUCCCCACUGCUGCCUCCCGUAGGAGUCUGGACCGUCUCUCAGUUCCAGUGUGGCCGGCCAACCUCUCAGUCCGGCUACCCAUCGUCGACUUGGUGGGCCGUUACCUCACCAACUAUCUAAUGGGACGCGAAGCCACCUUAUACCGGAUUGCUCCUUUCACCCCAAGCCCAUGCAGGCUCGUGGUCCUAUGCGGUAUUAGCACUGUUUUCACAGUGUUAUCCCCCUGUAUAAGACAGGUCCUUCACGCGUUACUCACCCGUCCGCCACUAACUUCACCCCGAAGGAUGAAAUCCGUUCGACUUGCAUGUGUUAAGCACGCCGCCAGCGUUCGUCCUGAGCCAGAAUCAAACUCUGA
rnacentral:rRNA from 1 species